rnacentral:rRNA from 1 species
CUACGGGUUGCAGCAGUCACGGAAACUUUACAAUGCGCGAAAGCGUGAUAAGGGUAUCCCAAGUGCUUUGCUUAUUGUAAGGCUUUUGCCAAGUGUAAAGAGCUUGGCGAAUAAGUGGUGGGUAAGACUGGUGCCAGCCGCCGCGGUAACACCAGCGCCACAAGUGGUAACCACGUUUAUUGGGCCUAAAGCGUUCGUAGCCGGUUUGAUAAGUUUCUUGUGAAAUUGUUUGGCCUAACCAAACAACGUGCAAGAAAUACUGUCUAACUUGGGACCGGGAGGAGUUAGAGGUAUUCCAUGGGGAGCGGUAAAAUGCUAUAAUCCUUGGAGGACCACCAAUGGCGAAGGCUUCUAACUAGAACGGAUCCGACGGUCAGGAACGAAGGCUAGGGGAGCAAAACGGAUUAGAUACCCCGGUAGUC